AACGAACGCUGGCGGCAGGCCUAACACAUGCAAGUCGAACGCCGUAGCAAUACGGAGUGGCAGACGGGUGAGUAACGCGUGGGAACAUACCCCUCGGUUCGGAAUAACUCAGGGAAACUUGAGCUAAUACCGGAUACGUCCGAGGUUUUAAUCGACCUUGGAGAAAGAUUUAUCGCCGGAGGAUUGGCCCGCGUCUGAUUAGCUUGUUGGUGAGGUAAUGGCUCACCAAGGCGACGANCAGUAGCUGGUCUGAGAGGAUGAUCAGCCACAUUGGGACUGAGACACGGCCCAAACUCCUACGGGAGGCAGCAGUGGGGAAUAUUGGACAAUGGGCGAAAGCCUGAUCCAGCCAUGCCGCGUGAGUGAUGAAGGCCUUAGGGUUGUAAAGCUCUUUUACCCGGGAAGAUAAUGACGGUACCGGGAGAAUAAGCCCCGGCUAACUUCGUGCCAGCAGCCGC
rnacentral:rRNA from 1 species